GGGUGAGUAACACGUGGAUAACCUACCUAUAAGACUGGGAUAACUUCGGGAAACCGUAGCUAAUACCGGAUAAUAUUUUGAACCGCAUGGUUCAAAAGUGAAAGACGGUCUUGCUGUCACUUAUAGAUGGAUCCGCGCUGCAUUAGCUAGUUGGUAAGGUAACGGCUUACCAAGGCAACGAUGCAUAGCCGACCUGAGAGGGUGAUCGGCCACACUGUAACUGAGACACGGUCCAG
rnacentral:rRNA from 1 species